UAAGGAAUAUUGCUCAAUGGCCGAAAGGCUGAAGCAGCAACGCCGCGUGGAGGAUGAAAUACUUUUGUAUGUAAACUCCUGUAAGAGGGGAAAAACAUCCCGAUUUAUCGGGAUUGAUUGUACCUUCAGAGUAAGCCCCGGCUAACUACGUGCCAGCAGCCGCGGUAAUACGUAGGGGGCGAGAGUUGUCCGGAUUUACUGGGUGUAAAGGGUGCUCAGGUGGAUUUGUAAGUCAGAGGUGAAAUCCCAA
rnacentral:rRNA from 1 species